AUUUUUUUGAGCAGUGUAUUUCCAGCCAACAGCCAAUCCAACAGCAGCUAAACAAACCAGAACAAAAGCUGCUCCCAGUCUGUAGUGUCCUUUAUGGUAACUGAAA